rnacentral:rRNA from 1 species
CAGUCGCCGCGGUAAUACGAAGGGUGCAAGCGUUACUCGGAAUUACUGGGCGUAAAGCGUGCGUAGGCGGUUGGUUAAGUCUGCUGUGAAAGCCCUGGGCUCAACCUGGGAACUGCAGUGGAAACUGGCCAGCUAGAGUGUGUCAGAGGAUGGUGGAAUUCCCGGUGUAGCGGUGAAAUGCGUAGAGAUCGGGAGGAACACCAGUGGCGAAGGCGGCCAUCUGGACAACACUGACGCUGAGGCACGAAAGCGUGGGGAGCAAACAGGAUUAGAUACCCCUGUAGCCCUGUCUCUUAUACAC